rnacentral:misc_RNA from 1 species
GCUCAUCACCCUGUGACAUACCUAAAACGUUGCUUCGGCGGGAACAGACGGCCCUGUAACAACGGGCCGCCCCCGCCAGAGGACCCCUAACUCUGUUUUUAUAAUGUUUUUCUGAGUAAACAAGCAAAUAAAUUAAAACUUUCAACAACGGAUCUCUUGGCUCUGGCAUCGAUGAAGAACGCAGCGAAAUGCGAUAAGUAAUGUGAAUUGCAGAAUUCAGUGAAUCAUCGAAUCUUUGAACGCACAUUGCGCCCGCCAGUAUUCUGGCGGGCAUGCCUGUUCGAGCGUCAUUACAACCCUCAGGCCCCCGGGCCUGGCGUUGGGGAUCGGCAGAAGCCCCCUGUGGGCACACGCCGUCCCUCAAAUACAGUGGCGGUCCCGCCGCAGCUUCCAUUGCGUAGUAGCUAACACCUCGCAACUGGAGAGCGGCGCGGCCAUGCCGUAAAACACCCAACUUCUGAAUGUUGACCUCGAAUCAGGUAGGAAUACCCGCUGAACUUAAACCUCGAAUCNUU